CCUACGGGAGGCAGCAGUGGGGAAUAUUGCACAAUGGGGGAAACCCUGAUGCAGCGACGCCGCGUGAGUGAAGAAGUAUUUCGGUACGUAAAGCUCUAUCAGCAGGGAAGAAAAUGACGUUACCUGACUAACAAGCCCCGGCUAACUCCGUGCCAGCAGCAGUGUUAAUACGUAGGGGGCAGCCGUUAUCCGGAUUUACUGGGUGUAAAGGGAGCGUAGACGGCAGCGCAAGUCUGGAGUGAAAUGGCAGGGCUUAACCAUGGAACUGCAUGGGAAACUGGGCAGCUAGAGUGCAGGAAAGGUAGGCGGAAUUCGUCGUGUAGCGGUGAAAUGCGUAGAUAUGAGGAGGAACCCCAGUGGCGAAGGCGGCUUGCUGCAGUGUAACUGACGUUGAGGCUCGAAAGCGUGGGGAGCGAACAGGAUUAGAUACCCGUGUAGUC
rnacentral:rRNA from 1 species